rnacentral:rRNA from 1 species
CCUACGGGUGGCAGCAGUGAGAAAUAGUGGUCAAUGGACGAGAGUCUGAACCAGCCAAGUAGCGUGAAGGAUGACUGCCCUAUGGGUUGUAAACUUCUGUUAUAGGGGAAUAAAAUGUGCCACGUGUGGGAUUUUGUAUGUACCAGAUGAAUAAGGAUCGGCUAACUCCGUGCCAGCAGCCGCGGUAAUACGGAGGAUCCGAGCGUUAUCCGGAUUUAUUUGGUUUAAAGGGAGCGUAGGUGGAUUGUUAAGUCCGUUGUGAAAGUUUGCGGCUCAACCGUAAAAUUGCAGUUGAAACUGGCAGUCUUGAGUACAGUCGCGGUGGUCGGCAUUCGUGGUGUAGCGG